UAAGGAAUAUUGGACAAUGGACGCAAGUCUGAUCCAGCCAUGCCGCGUGAAGGAUGAAUGCCCUCUGGGUUGUAAACUUCUUUUAUAGGGGAAGAAAGAUACUUUUUUUAAGGUAGUUGACGGUACCCUAUGAAUAAGCACCGGCUAACUCCGUGCCAGCAGCCGCGGUAAUACGGAGGGUGCAAGCGUUAUCCGGAUUUACUGGGUUGAAAGGGUGCGUAGGCGGGCAUGUAAGUCAGUGGUGAAAUACCGGAGCUUAACUUCGGAACUGCCAUUGAUACUAUAUGUCUUGAAUAUUGUGGAGGUAAGCGGAAUAUGUCAUGUAGCGGUGAAAUGCAUAGAUAUGACAUAGAACACCGAUUGCGGAGGCAGCUUGCUACGCAAAUAUUGACGCUGAGGCACGAAAGCGUGGGGAUCAAACA
rnacentral:rRNA from 1 species